rnacentral:rRNA from 1 species
UACAGAGGGGGCAAGCGUUGUUCGGAAUUACUGGGCGUAAAGGGCGCGUAGGUGGCCAACUAAGUCAGACGUGAAAUCCCCAGGCUCAACCUGGGAACUGCGUCUGAUACUGGAUGGCUUGAAUUCGGGAGAGGGAUGCAGAAUUCCAGGUGUAGCGGUGAAAUGCGUAGAUAUCUGGAGGAAUACCGGUGGCGAAGGCGGCAUCCUAGACCGAUAUUGACACUGAUGAGCGAAAGCCAGGGGAGCAAACGGG